CUCUGGCCUCCAUCACCGCGAGCCUCAGCCUGUUGCGCAGCACAGCAUGCGAGCGGACUACGGCGAGGUGCGCACACUGCUUGCUGGGGCCAUACGCAGCGGCAAGAAUGGGUACACGGCCGGGCUCCCGGAGUACUCGCACGCCAUGGCGGAUGGCUACGUUGGGCGCAAGGAACGCCGCCGAGCAGGAUUUGGAGUUCGGGUCAUGUCCAUCCAAGCUGCCCUUGACUUUGUCCACGAUUCAAGCACCGCCGGCAGCUUAUAGGGAAAACCAUGCAGAGUGUCGACAUUCACAUGGUCAACAUCAGUGGUCAACCAUGUUGCGUUAGCUGCACACUGGAAUCAACUACGG